GACAGAGGGUGCGAGCGUUGUUCGGAAUUACUGGGCGUAAAGCGCACGUAGUCGGCUUUGCAAGUCGGGUGUGAAAUCCCCGGGCUCAACCUGGGAACUGCAUCCGAGACUGCAUUGCUAGAGUAUGGGAGAGGGAAGCGGAAUUUCUGGUGUAGCAGUGAAAUGCGUAGAUAUCAGAAGGAACAUCAGUGGCGAAGGCGGCUUCCUGGACCAAUACUGACGAUCAGGUGCGAAAGCGUGGGGAGCAAACAGG
rnacentral:rRNA from 1 species